rnacentral:lncRNA from 1 species
GGACGGACACCACCCCACGCUCACGGGUCCUCUGGCGGUGUCCUUUGAGCUGCCGGGACGGCGCAAGGUAUCCUGGAUGUUAGACGCUAUUAAGGACCAUGCUAUUUUGUAUUUGUGAGAAUGAUAUUGAAGGAACCUGUUUAUGCACCCUCCUGCAAUCCCACCACCUGCCCAGGCCAAGUGAGCCCCUCUCCGCUACUGGUGUUUCAUAAUGCUGGGAGCUACUUUGAUUUCAUGCAUUGCCCUUCAGGUGCCAUGUUAUGAGGACACUUGGAGAAAGCUACAGGAGAGGAACUGAGGUCUCCUGCCAUCAGCCACUUGAGUGAGCAUGGGAGUGGAUUCUCCAAACUCCAGUUAAGACUUGAGAUGUCCACAGUGGCAGCCACUAGCUUGACUGCAACUUACGAGAGACCCUGAGCCAGAGGCACUCAGUUAAGUCAUACACAGUUUCCUGACCCGUAAAACCUGUGACACAAUGAAGGUUUGUUGUUUUGGGGGUAAUCCGUUAUUCAGCAAUAGAUAACGAAUACAGAAGGCUUGUAAUUGUAUAACCAACGUGAGUUUAUAAGCGGAUAUCUGACCUCAUUUGUUUUCUCCUGAAAAAGUUAUAGAAAAAUCACAAGACUGCAAGUCACUCUCUCUCUUUCUUUUGUGGGGAAUAAACAAGUAUAAUUACAAUUUCUAAACCUAUUGUUUUAUUCUCAAAUAUAAUUACAAUUUAAACAGGAUAUUGUAGAGCUCCAUCAUAGGGAUUAACACUAAUUAGAAUUAAAGAACGUUUUUGUGAAA